rnacentral:rRNA from 1 species
UCGGGAAUCUUGGGCAAUGGGCGAAAGCCUGACCCAGCAACGCCGCGUGCGGGAUGAAGGCCUUCGGGUCGUAAACCUCUGUCGAGAGGGAAGAAAGGUCGCUGUACGAACCAUGCAGUGGCUUGACGGUACCUCCAAAGGAAGCACCGGCUAACUCCGUGCCAGCAGCCGGGGUAAUACCGAGGGUGCGAGCGUUGUUCGGAAUCACUGGGCGUAAAGCGCGUGUAGGCGGCCUGGAAAGUCGGUUGUGAAAUCCCGGGGCCCAACCUCGGAACUGCAACCGAAACUGCCAGGCUCGAGUCCCGGAGAGGGUGGCGGAAUUUCCGGUGUAGAGGUGAAAUUCGUAGAUAUCGGAAGGAACACCAGUGGCGAAGGCGGCCACCUGGACGGUGACUGACGCUGAGACGCGAAAGCGUGGGGAGCAAACAGGAUUAGAUACCCGUGUAGUCC